UGCAGCAUGGAAUGGGAGCAACACAACACUGGUGUUUGGAGUGGGGUUGCACUCUUGUAAAUCCAGUAGCCCAGGAGGCUGGAUUAGGAAGUUCACCAGUUCAAGCCCAGCCUGACAGUCUCAAAAUAAACACUAAGUCCCUCAUUUCCCGGAUCUGCACAUGUGGGAUGGCCUUCCUCCCAUUUUACAGCUGGAAUAAUCCCAGUGUGCAAACGUGAGAAGCCAGCUGGGGUUUCCCAAACCUUGGGGAUGUAAAGGAAGCUGCACGCAGUCAGAGCCCAAGGAAAGCCCGAGCAAGAUCCCAACUGACGAGAGUUGACAUGCACUCUCCAGCUGGGCGUGGACUGAACAGUAUCAUGCGGUGUUGCACAGCCACUCGUACCUGUUCCUAGAUGUUCUGAUGGCUCUGCAUCUCUCCAACCCACUCUCCGUCAGGUGUGUUCCUCGCUCUUCCACCCGGCCCCCCCAGGGUCUUCUUGUGUGUCCCACACACGGUACCUAAGGUCCUUGCCACUGGCUGGCUCUAUCUUCUAGCUCUUCCCCAGAGCUGGAGCCCACAGCUGCAACCUGGCAGGGCUGCUGGGGGGUUCCCAGUGCCUUGCACAGAUGUUCAUGAAAUCUGAAGAUACCGAAAUUCAUCACUGGACACGUAUUCGCUGAGCACCUGCUAUGUGCCAGGCACUGGGCAAAGGAACAGAGGAAUGCAAAUGCAAAUCAGCAGGCUCUGCCUGAACGUUUUUCCUCCCAGCUGUCCACUCUGCUCCUCUGGGGUCCUACGUGAUAUAUAAUCCACCCCCCUUAUCAGUGUAACAAAGGAGACAGAAACACA